AACGAACGCUGGCGGCAUGCCUAACACAUGCAAGUCGAACGAGACCUUCGGGUCUAGUGGCGCACGGGUGCGUAACGCGUGGGAAUCUGCCCUCUGGUACGGAAUAACUCAGGGAAACUUGAGCUAAUACCGUAUAAUGACUUCGGUCCAAAGAUUUAUCGCCUGAGGAUGAGCACGCGUCGGAUUAGCUAGUUGGUGAGGUAAAGGCUCACCAAGGCGACGCUCCGUAGCUGGUCUGAGAGGAUGAUCAGCCACACUGGGACUGAGACACGGCCCAGACCCCUCCGGGAGGCAGCAGUGGGGAAUAUUGGACAAUGGGCGAAAGCCUGAUCCAGCAAUGCCGCGUGAGUGAUGAAGGCCUUAGGGUUGUAAAGCUCUUUUACCCGGGAUGAUAAUGACAGUACCGGGAGAAUAAGCCCCGGCUAACUCCGUGCCAGCCGCCGCGGUAA
rnacentral:rRNA from 1 species